rnacentral:lncRNA from 1 species
AAAAAAAUUUAAAAUAAGCUCCAAAAAUUCCAGAAAAAAUAUAUGUUAUUCCACGAUGUUUAACCAACAAAAAUAACCAAUUUCCAUCCAAAAACCUCAAAUAAAAUUUCAUAAAUAAAUUUUGAAAAAAAUCAAUUUCACGGAUAUUCAAAUUGUCAAAAAUUGCUGACCCGAAAAUCAAUAAAAAUUUUACAUACAUAUAAAAUAAAAUCCCACACAUCAUGCAAGAU